UAGCAGAUGUGCCCAUUACAUUGUGCCACAGUUAUAAUCCAGUGCUGGUGUAGAAUGACCUGCUGAACUGAGAUCCAGAUUCAUCCCAUCAGAGAGACAAGAAUCAAAUACUUUGGAUGAGUUGUUUAGGGCAGGGUUGACCAAGUAAACUGUGUUUUGUUGAGCUGAAAAAACUUGAACACUGCUCUGUCGGGCUGCCACAAAGUUUUGCUGCUGCUCUUCCAAUGUGAAGGUGUUCUUUAGCAACCCUCAGAAAAGUAACCGAAAAGUGUGCAAGAACACUUUUGAGGCUCUAUCCCAAGCAGUAUGUUGCACUUCACAUUGCAGACCUGCAGAGGAGGAAGAGUUCCUGGAAUGGGCUGACUGUUUUUCAACACAGUCCCCAUUGCCAUUAAGAUGCAGAGGCCCAGAUCCUGCUGGAAACUUCACUGGUUCAGGUGUACUUUCAUGACAGACCUCAGCAUCCUAUGAGACACACCAGGAGCAAGAGGUAUUCAUGCUGCAAAAUUAUUUCAGUUAUCUAGGGUCUUCUAUGACAUACCUGUCAUGCCCAAGUAAGGAUAGGAUGGGGAGAAGCCAUUCAGCUGUGAGUUGU